UACGAAGGGGGCUAGCGUUGCUCGGAAUCACUGGGCGUAAAGGGCGCGUAGGCGGGUCUUUUAAGUCAGGGGUGAAAUCCUGGAGCUCAACUCCAGAACUGCCUUUGAUACUGAGGAUCUUGAGUUCGGGAGAGGUGAGUGGAACUGCGAGUGUAGAGGUGAAAUUCGUAGAUAUUCGCAAGAACACCAGUGGCGAAGGCGGCUCACUGGCCCGAUACUGACGCUGAGGCACGAAAGCGUGGGGAGCAAACAGG
rnacentral:rRNA from 1 species